rnacentral:rRNA from 1 species
GACGAACGCUGGCGGCGUGCUUAACACAUGCAAGUCGAACGGAAAGGCCCUGCUUUUGUGGGGUGCUCGAGUGGCGAACGGGUGAGUAACACGUGAGUAACCUGCCCUUUACUUUGGGAUACCUUCAGGAAACUGGGGCUAAUACCGGAUAUGAGCUCCUUCUGCAUGGUGGGGGUUGUAAAGUUUCGGCGGUUGGGGAUGCACUCGCGGCUUAUCAGCUUGUUGGUGGGGUAGUGGCUUACCAAGGCUUUGACGGGUAGCCGGCCUGAGAGGGUGACCGGCCACAUUGGGACUGAGAUACGGCCCAGACUCCUACGGGAGGCAGCAGUGGGGAAUAUUGCACAAUGGGCGGAAGCCUGAUGCAGCAACGCCGCGUGCGGGAUGACGGCCUUCGGGUUGUAAACCGCUUUCGCCUGUGACGAAGCGUGAGUGACGGUAAUGGGUAAAGAAGCACCGGCUAACUACGUG